GAGGCCCAGAGGGAAGGCUUGA
rnacentral:miRNA from 1 species